UUGAUGAUUUACGACCUCUGUUUCUGUGUUUGGGUAAACGCCUAUGCGAUCCGGCUGCUGAAGAGGAAUUAGAUCCGUACAACAGUGCAGAUGGCAUAUCAGUCACAUGGCCUUCAGAGUGGACAGUGCAAUCACUUUUCACUCCCAUCACUCUGAGCAUCACGUUCACUGUCACAAUUCUGAUCUGCAUCGGAGUUCUGCCAGUGUACAGAACCAUGUCUGUUUUCAUUCCUAUCACCUGGAACCUGAUUCCCUCCGUCAAGUUUGGCCAAGAAAGUCUUUUCAAACUGUUCUGCCCAAGAUUGCCAAGAUU